rnacentral:lncRNA from 1 species
AUGAGCCCCCGCAGGACCGCCGUCACAGUAAGAGUGCAUGCCCUUCCCGACAAGCCUGGUGCUAAACGCUCAGCCACCAGCCACGGGCCCUCCUGCGCGGCUCUGCCCUCUGUGCUGCCCCUCAGGCCCCAGCCUCUCCCGAGGGCGCAAGGACUCUCUGCGCAGAAGAGAAGGUCCACAACCUUCUCACCAACGUUCCAUCGCUCCACCAGCCCCAAGGCGCCUGGCCCGGCCUCCCCGACCUCUUCCCACCGGUGCCCGGGCCUGUCCAAGCCUCUCCGCAGCCCUCCUCCGCCAUCACGUGACCACGUCCCCGCCGGCCAGCCCACAGACGUGCAGUGACGGCUCCCAACACUAAGACCUCCUGGAUCUCACUCCUUCGGCAGCCACUUUUCCUCUUCAUAGAGAGCCCUGAAAGGGCCUCCUGUACCCGCAACCCCGUGUCCCCGGCAGCCCCCACCCCAUCUCCCCCACGGCAUGCCGCCCACCCCAGCACGGCGGCACUCGUGUCUGACGCCUCACAGCACUCACGCAGUUGCUUCCUCUUCUCAAGGCUCCUCCUUGGGGGUCUGGGACACAACUCUUCUUGCGAGCCCACCCUGUCCCGGGGGGUCUCAGCCAGGCCUGGCCCCUCCAGGCUCCCAGGUUUUACGUCUGCUCCAGCUGCACAGCCAGCUGUCCCCAGGUGUCUCCAAGGUGUCCGAAACGCAUCGAGCGCCACUUCACUCCGAACCUGCCUCAAUCAGUCUCUCCUCAGCCGCCUCCGCCUCCGUGAAGGGCACGGCUUCCCUCCCCGGUGUUUGAGUCAGUCCUCCCGGGAUGGCCUGGACUGCACCCCGCCAGCGUGUUCCGCGGGCUCCACCUGCAGGACGCGCCAGGAUGCACACCUCCGCCUCCGCCCCGGCUCCCCACCACGGCCUGGUCCACACGGCAGAACCACUCCGUUCCUGAGUCACCACACGGCUUUUCUCGGCUGAAGACCCCCAGCGGCCCUGCUCUCAGGGUCAGAGCCCCAGUGCCCACAGCCCGGCCGGACUGCCCGCGCAGCUCCCGAAGGGGCAGGUCCCACUGGCCCCGGGGCACCAUCCCCCCAACUCCUGUCUCCUCACUUAGGGAAACAGGGCUCCAGGCCCUGGUCUGGUAUGACCGACAGAUGCUGGAACGGGUGUGAGCUCUCCUCACUACUGAAGUUCAGGAUAAACUGGCAAAAAUAUACAAUAAUUUACACUUAUCAGUGAACGGUUGGUUUUGGAAAGCAGUUCUCUUAAGACAAGAACUGUUUUGUCACUAUGUAACAGGUUUACUAUAUUUUAAUGGUUACAAGUGAAAACCGAGACAAGCAUGGCUCCAGUCCAGCAAAUCGCGGCCCCACACUCUCCUCUGUGAAGUGACUUCACAGACAUGUGAGGAGCCGCCCGCUGGGACGCACGCGGUGGCUCCCCAUCCUCAGACCCCGUCGCUGUCUACCCCCAACGCUUGUCAGGACAGAAGGAGAGCCAGGCAAGAGGGAUUCAUUCCUGCUGUGGACUUUCCCGAAGGGGUAAGGUCAGGCUCACCUCCCCCCUCUGGAGGCGACCCUCAGGAGCAGGUGGAGCCGCAGCAGGAAGCUGGUGAGAGGGACAGCAGGGGUGGGGCCAUCUGCGGAGCUCCUAUCACAGCAGAACCACGGGCUGAGUCCUCAGAGCCUGCAGGAUGGACGUCCAGAAUCGACACGCAGCAGACGCCGUAUCUGGUGAGGCCCCUCCACAGUGCACACAUGGUACCUUCUCCCUGUGUCUCCUCAAGUGGCAGAAGGGCUGGGGGCACUCUGACCCCAUUCAUGGGGGCUCCACCCUCAUGAUCUCAUCACCCCCCAAGGCCACACCACCACCCCAGGCAUUUGGAUUCAGCCUGAGUUUUGGGGGGAUACACACUCAGACCAUAGCAGAAUGACCCCACUGAAUGACGUGCAGGAUUCGUGCUGAGGGCAGGCAGGGGCUCAGACCUCAUUAUCUAGGGAAAGGGGAUGAGCAGUCCGGUCAUACGCUGAGCCUGGAGAGCUCCAGCUAGUCUGACUCAACAGAAAUCUUGCUAAAAUGGGACAAUGAAGAGACAGACCUCAAAGCCUGAGGAGUCAGGACCUCGCUGGGAGCCAGAGGAGCCCGACUAGAGCCUGGUCCAGCAGAGACUGUGGCCCUCCUCUGUUCCAGCCCACACUGGCCCAGACUGUCCCUUCUGCACAGUGCAGAGGGGCCCACAGCAUUCCCGCACCCCCAGUCCUGCUCCCAGAACUCCACAGGCUCCCCCUGAGGCAAGUGGCAGGCAGACCUGGGAGAGAACCCAGGUUUACACCUGUCACCAGCACUCGAUCACACAGUGUGAGUCACGUGAACUGGUCAGUGUCCCGUGCGUAUAAAGCUCGCUAGCACCACGCUUCAGCCUGUUAUGUGUACAGACUUAUGUCUGAAUGGUGCACACACUGUUAAUACUUCACUGCUAAAAAAUGCUAACCAGCACCUGAGCUUUCCAAGUCAUUCCAGUAAGAUCACUGAUCACAAAGAGCA